rnacentral:pre_miRNA from 1 species
AAUCGAUUUUUUGGUGAUAUGUUUGAUAUUCUUGGUUGAGUGAUUAAAUCAAAUAGAUGAUCAACCAAGAAUCAGACAUAUAUUCCAAACAAUCGAUC